rnacentral:rRNA from 1 species
GAUGAACGCUGGCGGCGUGCCUAAUACAUGCAAGUCGAGCGAAUGGAUUAAGAGCUUGCUCUUAUGAAGUUAGCGGCGGACGGGUGAGUAACACGUGGGUAACCUGCCCAUAAGACUGGGAUAACUCCGGGAAACCGGGGCUAAUACCGGAUAACAUUUUGAACCGCAUGGUUCGAAAUUGAAAGGCGGCUUCGGCUGUCACUUAUGGAUGGACCCGCGUCGCAUUAGCUAGUUGGUGAGGUAACGGCUCACCAAGGCAACGAUGCGUAGCCGACCGGAGAGGGUGGUCGGCCACACUGGGACUGAGACACGGCCCAGACUCCUACGGGAGGCAGCAGUAGGGAAUCUUCCGCAAUGGACGGAAGUCUGACGGAGCAACGCCGCGUGAGUGAUGAAGGCUUUCGGGUCGUAAAACUCUGUUGUUAGGGAAGAACAAGUGCUAGUUGAAUAAGCUGGCACCUUGACGGUACCUAACCAGAAAGCCACGGCUAACUACGUGCCAGCAGCCGCAGUAA